GACGAACGCUGUCGGCGUGCUUAACACAUGCAAGUCGAGCGGAGCGGCGCACGGGUGAGUAACGCGUGAGUAACUGCCCCCCUCUCUGGGGUAACAGAUGGAAACGGCUGCUAAUACCGGAUAGUGGGGGAUGACUCGCGUCCGAUCAGCUUGUUGGUGGGGUAGGGGCCUACACAUGCGACGACAGUUAGCCGGCCUGAGAGGGCGACUGGCCACAUUGGGCUGAAAGACGGCACAAACUCAUACGGGGUGCAGACGUGGGGAAUAUUGCCCAAUGGGGGAAACCCUGAUGCAGCAACGCGCGUGCGGGAUGACGGCCUGCGUGUUGUAAACCGCUUUCAGCCAUUACGCGGUAGUGGCAGAAGAAGCACCGGCUAACUACGUGCCAGCAGCCGCGGUAAUAC
rnacentral:rRNA from 1 species